UAGCUCUGAUCGAAAGCUGUUUGUGGGCCUAAGACAUGCUAGUCGAACGGGUACUUUUGUUAAGUACUUUCGUGGCGCAAGAGUGAGUAAAUUUUCACAUUUCUACCCUUUCUUUUUUUCGAAAAAUUAUAUUAAGAAAGGAUGAAGUUUGGAAUGGUAUUAGGUUUUGGGUUUAACCAUACCGAGGAUGCCUAGAGGACUUUAACGAGUGAUCCUCCACGAUGGAAAUGAAAAAAGCUCCAUACAUUAUUUGUCAGCAGUCGGGAAUCUUCCGCAUUGAACGAAAGUUUGACGGAGCCACACAAAAAGAUGAAGACAUCGAAAGAUGUAAAAUCUUAAUUUUUAGCUAACAUUCUGAGAUAAUGCUAAAAAGAAGUCCUACCUAAGCCAGGUGCCAGAAGGUUCGGUUAUACCUGGGGGACAAGUUUUGAUUUUCACUAGGCGUAAAAUGUUCUUAGAAGGGUUCUCGUUGUUGUUUAAAAAAGUUUACUUUUUUUAGUAAGAUUUUAUUUAAAACAGAGAAUCUUGGGUGUACUUAAAGGUAAUCGAAUUUUUCAGGGAAGGGUAAAAUCUAUUGAUCUGAUAAGGACGACCAAUGGCGCAGGCAAUUAUCUGAAGUAUGACCGACUUUUAAAGAAACGAAAGCAUAGGGAGCAAAUUGGAUUAGAUACCCAAGUAGUCUAUGCUGUAAACGAUGAAUAUUCGAAGGAGGUGAAAAUCUUUUUCCUAGCUAACGCGUUAAAUAUUCUGCCUAAUGAGUACGGCCGCAAGGCUAAAAGUGAAAAGAAUAGGCGGGGGUUGAUAUAAAUGGUGGACCAUAAAGCAUAAUGUGAUAAUACGCACGAAACCUUACCAAUCCUAGACGGUACUUGAUUAAAAAUUAAUCAUAAGAGUAUUUAGGUUUGCAUGGCUAUCGUCAGCUCGUGUUGUGAAAUGGCUGAUUUACUUCAGGUAACGAGCGAAACCCUUCUUUUUUUACUUGGUUUAAUACAAGAACAAAAAAUAUUGUGUAGUUAUUGACUACAAUGAAAGAGAGGAUGACGUUAAGUCCUUAUGAUCCUUAUGGAUUGGGCUGCAAAUGUGGUACAAUGGAAAUUACAAA
rnacentral:rRNA from 12 species